rnacentral:rRNA from 1 species
AUGCGAUACUUGGUGUGAAUUGCAGAAUCCCGUGAACCAUCGAGUCUUUGAACGCAAGUUGCGCCCGAAGCCACUAGGCUGAGGGCACGUCUGCCUGGGUGUCA